rnacentral:rRNA from 1 species
GACGAACGCUGGCGGCGUGCCUAAUACAUGCAAGUUGAGCGCUGAAGGUUGGUACUUGUACCAACUGGAUGAGCAGCGAACGGGUGAGUAACGCGUGGGGAAUCUGCCUUUGAGCGGGGGACAACAUUUGGAAACGAAUGCUAAUACCGCAUAAAAACUUUAAACACAAGUUUUAAGUUUGAAAGAUGCAAUUGCAUCACUCAAAGAUGAUCCCGCGUUGUAUUAGCUAGUUGGUGAGGUAAAGGCUCAACAAGGCGAUGAUACAUAGCCGACCUUAGAGGGUGAUCGGCCACAUUGGGACUGAGACACGGCCCAAACUCCUACGGGAGGCAGCAGUAGGGAAUCUUCGGCGAGGGACGAAAGUCUGACCGAGCAACGCCGCGUGAGUGAAGAAGGUUUUCGGAUCGUAAAACUCUGUUGGUAGAGAAGAACGUUGGUGAGAGUGGAAAGCUCAUCAAGUGACGGUAACUACCCAGAAAGGGACGGCUAACUACGUG